AGACGCGUGCUUUUAACGUGUCACAAAGCACGCGUCUAAAUAAACGCGUGCUUUUUUGAGACGUGUCUAUCAAACCACACAAAAUUAACGCCUGGUUUGGCUCAAUCAGCGUCUGGUUUUCCAAAAUUAAAGUCUGCUUGCUUGAAUCUCCGAUGGGAAAUUACGGCAACAAUUGUAACAUCUAAUACAUCAUCUAUGAUGUCCCAAAGGCCCAACUCCUUCUCAGGUCACCUUCUGGCAGCAACCAUGCAGCUGGAUUUCACUGUGCAACCAGGCCUACCCAAGCUGCUGCUGCUGGGCCCAGGGCUGAUUGUAAUGGCACACUGGGACUUGCAGAUGACCUGAAAUACAUAUUUUUCUUUAUGCUGUGUAAGAUGUAGGCCUACUGCUUUUAACUUGAGUUGAAUGCUAUUAAACCCUCCCAUGGUCAGCAAACACUAGCCAUUGCUCUACUUCAGAAAGGAUACUGUUCACUGCUGUAUGAGUCAAUAGGACAUUACCUGAAUGACUUGUAGUGAUCGGGAGGUUAUGCCUGUGCUGAUGAUGGUAUAAACCAUUAAGGCUGGACCUGAUGUUAGUUUCCUCCA